CGGAGGAAAAGAAACUAACAAGGAUUCCCCUAGUAACUGCGAGUGAAGCGGGAAAAGCUCAAAUUUAAAAUCUGUCAGUCUUUGGCUGUCCGAGUUGUAAUCUAGAGAAGUGUUAUCCGCGCUGGACCGUGUACAAGUCUCCUGGAAUGGAGCGUCAUAGAGGGUGAGAAUCCCGUCUUUGACACGGAUUGCCAGGGCUUUGUGAUGCGCUCUCAAAGAGUCGAGUUGUUUGGGAAUGCAGCUCAAAAYGGGUGGUAAAUUCCAUCUAAAGCUAAAUAUUGGCGAGAGACCGAUAGCGAACAAGUACCGUGAGGGAAAGAUGAAAAGAACUUUGGAAAGAGAGUUAAACAGUACGUGAAAUUGCUGAAAGGGAAACGCUUGAAGUCAGUCGCGUUGUCCAGGGAUCAACCUUGCUUUUGCUCGGUGUACUUUCUGGUUGACGGGUCAGCAUCAAUUUUGACUGUUGGAAAAAGGUCAAGGGAAUGUGGCAUCUUCGGAUGUGUUAUAGCCCUUGGUUGCAUACAAUAGUUGGGAUUGAGGAACUCAGCACGCCGCAAGGCCGGGUAUUAACCACGUACGUGCUUAGGAUGCUGGCAUAAUGGCUUUAAUCGACCCGUCUUGAAACACGGACCAAGGAGUCUAACAUGCCUGCGAGUGUUUGGGUGGAAAACCCGAGUGCGUAAUGAAAGUGAAAGUUGAGAUCCCUGUCGUGGGGAGCAUCGACGCCCGGACCAGACCUUUUGUGACGGUUCCGCGGUAGAGCAUGUAUGUUGGGACCCGAAAGAUGGUGAACUAUGCCUGAAUAGGGUGAAGCCAGAGGAAACUCUGGUGGAGGCUCGUAGCGAUUCUGACGUGCAAAUCGAUCGUCAAAUUUGGGUAUAGGGGCGAA
rnacentral:rRNA from 1 species